GUCACACCUGCCGGUUGAAUGGUCCGCCGGGUGAAGCCUCGGGAUUGUGACCAGCUCCCUCCAUUGGGGAUUAGAACUUGUCUAAACCUGAUCAUUGAAUUAAAGGAAAGUG
rnacentral:rRNA from 1 species